UAGCUUAAGUGUGUAUAUGGUAUAGAAAAUUUUAGCAGGACUCUUUCUUCAGCUCUUCUGUUGUAGGAAUCCAGACUUGAAUUCUUAAUGAAAACCAAAAAGAGGACAAAGGCAGGAGCUUCUGGCUAGGUGGGGACCAACGUGGGGAUGGAUUUCCUAAUCCUAACCUGAAAAGGGGAAUUUCAGGGUAGAAUGGAUGACAUCCCAAACCCCAGACCAGUGUUUAGUCCCUGAAAGGCUCCGUGGAGAAGUAAACAACUUGGGUGGAGUGCACAGUUUUGUCUGUUCCGUUGCAGAGCUUUCCUGGGCCUUUUCCCCAAGCUGGGCUGUGGUGGUUUAAAAUUAGUUCUUGUUUGGCCUGCGAGGGAGAAGGGAAUUUGCGGAGUCUGGGCUGGACUCAGCCUUUUGCUGUGGAGGUUCUGAGGGCUGUGUCUGUGACUUGUGCACGUUGAAAGUGGAGAGACUUGGGCUCAAGACCUCCACGUGACCAAACCCCUGUCCUUGUCGUCAGAGCUGUCCAGAAACCUAAAUGGAACUGAAGUCCACCACCUUGGUCUGAUCUGGGAGACACCUCUCCUGUCCCAAAUAGAGCUCUCUACCUACCUUCCUCUCUGAGAUACCUGCGAUCUGCAGGAGGAAUUACUCCUUUUGGGCAUGACCUGUAAGCAACUGCUCCAUUGCGAGUCUCGUUCCCAAACCGUUACUGCCCAUGAGCACAGUGACAUUUAAUUUCAUCUUUAGGAUUCAUUUCCAUCAUUUCAAGCAGGGUCAUCUUGGAACGGGACACAUGAUAGGGUAAGCUUUGGUGGGGAUGGGAGGAGGAACGUUGCAAUGCUAGUUGCCUAUUUAGGAAAGAAGCCCUAGCUCACUGGGAUGAAAACAUUGGGGGCUGGCGAGCGGAUGAUGCUGAUUGAGAGAGUUCUAUUAGGGGAUAAAAGAGCAGAAAAACAGACAUUCAUUCUCUUUACAAGUGUGUUUUCAGCUGGCAUGACACCUCCUUUGACUCUGCAGUUGUUUUCCCUGAAUAUCUUUGCUUUCCCCUUUUCGGACAUUGAUUCCAAUGUCAGCGUAAAGCUAAACAUGGCUGACUACACAUCUGGCCUGGUCCUUGUGAAAAUAUCUAAGCUAUUACUGAAUUCAGAGCUAUUGCUGAUUGGUUUCUUAAGUGGACUUGAAAUGUAUAGCUUUAUUCAAAUAAUCAUAUCAACAAGCCAUAUUGCUAACAGGUCAGCAUGGGUAGAUGACUAAUACCACACACACACACACACACACACACACACACACACACACACACACACACACAGAUACAUAUGUGCACACACACCACUUCACUUCAUUGUGAGCUGAAUUUAGUUAUAAUCAUUCCAAUCUCAGUAAUGUUUGAUUUAUUUGUUUUAUUUUGUCUGAUAAAAACAGAAGUGAUGAAAGAUGAUCAGCUUUAGUUAUUAAUACUUAUUGAUACAUAUUUAGAUCUUUGAUUGGCAGUUCAGUCUUACGACCACUAAAAAAGAGAGACCCUUGGAGGAAAGAUUAACUUUAUAAGAAUGUUAGGAUUUUAAUAGCUUAGAUAAAGUUUUUUAAAAGUUGGAAACUAGAAAAUUUGCUUUGAAUUUAAUUUAUAAAAAGGACUUCCAGACCUCUGUCAUAUAGACAGUAGAUUUCUGUUCCAAUUGCAGAUAACUAUGUAAUCUGUUAUUCAGUUAAGAAUGUUUAUACAGUUUGUGUUUAAAUAGACAUAUUUAAGCAAUGAAGAAAGUAUUGUAACUAGGCAACUAUUGAUUGUCUACCCAGUGUGUCCAUUCCUGCUACUCCCUUCCUAGCAGAACCUUGAUUAGGUCGAGGUUUAAACAGCAAUGUGUCAAGGCAGGUGGACCAGGAGGAUCCUAAGGGAGGGAACUUGAUUGAUCUGAGCCAAUCGUAACACUCUUGAACAUCCCUUGGUCAGCAAUUGGCUUAGAGGUGGGCAUCCUAAACUUGGCAUAUGAGAAAGAGUAGGAAUUUGCUGGGUGCUCUUGGGAAAUAUUGCAUAAAACAGUUCAUCAAAAUUGGCCUUUCCUUUUUGCCUUGACUUGCCAUGUAAGAAGUAAUGCCUAAUGCUGCAACAGACAAAUUGCAACCAUCAGGGAAAGCCAGGAGACUCUGAGAGAGACCAAUUAUUGAGCUGAUGAAUGAACCCUUCCUGAAGCCACCUACUUCCUCACUUAUUGGUGUGUCCUUACUGUGUAAACCCCUUUUAACUGGGUGUUUUGUUUCUUGCAGCCAAAAACAAUCCAUUGAUACACUUGGUGACAUUAAUUGAGAAAAAAACAAUAUGGUCUGGCCAUGGAGGCAUGAUAUCCGUAACAUCCCGCAAAGGAGCUAAAGAAGAAAUCCACAAUUUACCAUGAGCAUUUCUCGUCUGAUGAUUGCCAAGCGAUUCCUCCAGGACAUUCCUCAAGGUGAAAACCAUCCAUUUCUUGGAGAAGUGCCACGGUGGGGUUGCAAGUCCCAGGAUCAAGAUUUCGAUGUGUCUCUUUUUCCCGUAAAGUGGCUGAAAUCUGAAGCUGAAUCUGCAAGUGUCAUGGAGUCAUUGAAUCUCACAGUCUCAACUGAUAAAAGUUAUUAAAGGUCGUCUGGUUCAGCCUUCUA